CCAAUGAGGAUGCUCUUAACAUC
rnacentral:siRNA from 1 species